AGGGAUUUAGGAUAAUACCCAGACCAAGAGCCUUCAAAGCUCUAAGUAGAAGUGAAAAUCUUCUAAUCCCU
rnacentral:tRNA from 1 species